AUACGUAGGGGGCGAGCGUUGUCCGGAAUGAUUGGGCGUAAAGGGCGCGUAGGCGGCCCGGUAAGUCUGGAGUGAAAGUCCUGUUUUUAAGAUGGGAAUUGCUUUGGAUACUGUCGGGCUUGAGUGCAGGAGAGGUAAGUGGAAUUCCCAGUGUAGCGGUGAAUGGCGUAGAGAUUGGGAGGAACACCAGUGGCGAAGGCGACUUACUGGACUGUAACUGACGCUGAGGCGCGAAAGUGUGGGGAGCAAACAGGAUUAGAUACCCUGGUAGUCCACACUGUAAACGAUGAAUGCUAGGUGUAGGGGGUAUCGACCCCUUCUGUGCCGCAGUCAACACAAUAAGCAUUCCGCCUGGGGAGUACGGCCGCAAGGUUGAAACUCAAAGGAAUUGACGGG
rnacentral:rRNA from 1 species